UUGGGGUCGGGGACAACCACUGGAAACGGUGGCUAAUACCGGAUAAGCCUUUGGGUAAAAAAUUUAUUGCCCCAAGAGGAGCUCGCGUCUGAUUAGCUAGUUGGUGAGGUAAAAGCUCACCAAGGCAGCGAUCAGUAGCUGGUCUGAGAGGACGAUCAGCCACACUGGGACUGAGACACGGCCCAGACUCCUACGGGAGGCAGCAGUGGGGAAUUUUCCGCAAUGGGCGAAAGCCUGACGGAGCAAGACCGCGUGAGGGAGGAAGGCUCUUGGGUUGUAAACCUCUUUUCUCAGGGAAGAAGCUCUGACGGUACCUGAGGAAUCAGCCUCGGCUAACUCCGUGCCAGCAGCCGCGGUAAUACGGAGGAGGCAAGCGUUAUCCGGAAUUAUUGGGCGUAAAGCGUCCGCAGGUGGCGAUUCAAGUCUGCUGUCAAAGCACGGGGCUUAACUCCGUUAAGGCAGUGGAAACUGAAUAGCUAGAGUGCCGUAGGGGUAGAGGGAAUUCCCGGUGUAGCGGUGAAAUGCGUAGAGAUCGGGAAGAACAUCGGUGGCGAAAGCGCUCUACUGGACGGCAACUGACACUCAGGGACGAAAGCUAGGGGAGCGAAUGGGAUUAGAUACCCCAGUAGUCCUAGCUGUUAACGAUGGAUACUAGGUGUAGCUUGUAUCGACCCGAGCUGUGCCGAAGCUAACGCGUU
rnacentral:rRNA from 1 species